GAUGAACGCUGGCGGCGUGCUUAACACAUGCAAGUCGAACGAAGCACCUUGAUUCGAUUCUUCUGAUGAAGAUCUUGGUGACUGAGUGGCGGACGGGUGAGUAACGCGUGGGUAACCUGCCUCAUACAGGGGGAUAACAGUUAGAAAUGACUGCUAAUACCGCAUAAGACCACAGCACCGCAUGGUGCAGGGGUAAAAACUCCGGUGGUAUGAGAUGGACCCGCAUCUGAUGAGGUAGUUGGGGGGGUAACGGCCUACCAAGCCGACGAUCAGUAGCCGAGAUGAGAGGGUGACCGGCCACAUUGGGACUGAGACACGGCCCGAACUCCUACGGGAGGCAGCAGAGGGGAAUAUUGCACAAUGGCGGAAACGCUGAUGCAGCGACGCCGCGUGGGCGAUGAAGUAUUUCGGUAUGUAAAGCUCUAUCAGCAGGGAAGAAAAUGACGGUACCUGACGAAGAAGCACCGGCUAAAUACGUG
rnacentral:rRNA from 1 species